UACAGAGGGUGCAAACGUUGCUCGGAAUCAUUGGGCGUAAAGCGCGUGUAGGCAGCGACUGCAAGUCGGGUGUGAAAGCCCUGGGCUCAACCUAGGAAGUGCACUCGAAACUGCAGGGCUUGAGUUCUGGAGAGGAAGGCGGAAUUCUCGGUGUAGAGGUGAAAUUCGUAGAUAUCGAGAGGAACAUCGGUGGCGAAGGCGGCCUUCAGGACAGUGACUGACGCUGAGACGCGAAAGCGUGGGGAGCAAACAGG
rnacentral:rRNA from 1 species